AGGUCUAUGAUAACAAACCACUUUCAUGAAGAGACGUGAUGAUGAAAAAUCAUGGGUUACGCUGAGGCCC
rnacentral:snoRNA from 1 species